UACAUGAGUUCUUUAAAUAAAGGUGGACAAGAUAAAGAUUCUGAAAACUAGUUCAGAUUACUAAAAAGACCUGACUAGGAAGGGAAUGAUGAUAUGCAGCUCACGUCUGCUCAUGCUAAUUUUCAGGAAGGAUUCCCAGAAUAAUCUGCACAGGACUGGCAGCUACCAAUUGACUGUCGAUCCGACCACCAAUGACACGUCCCUCCCUCGGGGCUUAAUAGAGACAGACUCAUUCCACCAGAUAAGUUUUCUCAUUCCUCCAGCAUAUGAUCCAGCGGAAGUAAGUAAAUCAUAC
rnacentral:misc_RNA from 1 species